rnacentral:rRNA from 1 species
GAUGAACGCUGGCGGCGUGCUUAACACAUGCAAGUCGAACGAUGAAGCCCAGCUUGCUGGGUGGAUUAGUGGCGAACGGGUGAGUAACACGUGAGUAACCUGCCCUUGACUCUGGGAUAAGCGCUGGAAACGGCGUCUAAUACCGGAUACGAGCUUCCACCGCAUGUGAGUUGCUGGAAAGAAUUUCGGUCAAGGAUGGACUCGCGGCCUAUCAGGUAGUUGGUGAGGUAACGGCUCACCAAGCCGACGACGGGUAGCCGGCCUGAGAGGGUGACCGGCCACACUGGGCCUGAGACACGGCCCAGACUCCUACGGGAGGCAGCAGUGGGGAAUCUUGCACAAUGGGCGCAAGCCUGAUGCAGCAACGCCGCGUGAGGGACGAAGGCCUUCGGGUCGUAAACCUCUUUUAGCAGGGAAGAAGCGAAAGUGACGGUACCUGCAGAAAAAGCACCGGCUAACUACGUG